rnacentral:lncRNA from 1 species
UGGACGCAGACUUUACCCCUACCUUGUGCGGGUAGAGAGGUUUUUUCGGAUUGACCCUCGACUCAAGUAAAGCAUUUUAAAUUCUCUUCUACAAGGAAUGUGGAAAAUAUGUAAUAACCCAAGGCUACAAAAGCUACCAUCAAAUUUUUUUCUGGAACUUGCCUCCUCCAUCAAACUUUUACCUACUCAAGUACUCUUUCCUAUAAGGAAUGUCCAAAACAUGAGUCAGGCUGCCCAAAGAUAGAUUUUUUUCAUUUCAAACUAGUUACAAAUGCA